GGGACAUUGUUGUGAUGGUCAAGAACUGACUGUACGUGACUUGAGCACUCUAAAAGACAGUAAUUGGCUCAAUAGUCAGGUCGUCAAUUCAUUCAUGCAAAACAUUGCAAUGGAAUUGAACAAUCAAGGGUAUAACGUAUUCGCAUACAAUUCCUUCC